rnacentral:rRNA from 1 species
GACGUAGGGCGCGAGCGUUGUCCGGAUUUAUUGGGCGUAAAGAGCUCGUAGGCGGCUUGUCGCGUCGUCUGUGAAAUCCCGCGGCUUAACCCCGGGUCUGCAUUCGAUACGGGCUGGCUGGAGUGUGGUAGGGGAGAUCGGAAUUCCUGGUGUAGCGGUGAAAUGCGCAGAUAUCAGGAGGAACACCGGUGGCGAAGGCGGAUCUCUGGGCCAUUACUGACGCUGAGGAGCGAAAGCGUGGGGAGCGAACAGG